AGAUAUAGUAACUAAUAUAAUUUACUUAAUUGAUCUACAUAUGUCAGGAUUGUAAAAUAGCAGCAUAAGAUUAAAAAAGUAAGUUAGUAUUUUAACUAUAUCUACUUUU
rnacentral:SRP_RNA from 1 species